rnacentral:lncRNA from 1 species
GACUUUCAAUCUGGACUUUCAUUGUAAGAAGGGUAAGGUGGCUUAGAAGAGAUGACAGGAGAUAAGGAAUUCUUGUCUGCCUCCUCCUCUCCCUUCCUUUCCCUCCCCUCCCUUCCUUUAUUCUCCUCCCCCCCUCUUUUUCUAGACACUAUCUCACUCAAGCCAAGUUGAAACUCACCAAGAUUUGAAUGUGAUUUUAUUUUAUAAAAAAUUUUAAUUAAAAAUUGCCUAUUUUAUGUAUACCAAGUGUUUUGCCUACAUCUCUGUUCGUGGAAGCUUGGUACCCUUGGUGUGAGAAGAAGGCAUCAGAUCCCUUGGAACUGGAGUUCUGUAUGGUGUGUGCAACCAUGUGGGUGCUGGGAACUGAAUCUAGGCCCUCUGCAGCAAGAGCAACAAGUGCUCCUCACUGCUGACCCAGUCUCCAGUCCCAUGCAGGUAUUUUUAGAAUGAAGAAAGUGGGCUUCCUGCGAACAUGAAGGACACGAAAUGAAAAAGGAUAAAGGAGAGCCAUGUCCUUGGUAAGAUACACACUUAGGAAGUAGAGAGGCAGAGGCAGGUGGAUCUCUGGGAGUUCAAGGUUAGCCUGUUCCACUGACUUGAGUUCCAGGACAGCCGAGGCUACACAGAGAAGCCCUGUCUAGAAAAGCAAAACAACACAGCACAGCACAAAGCAAAGCCAAAAGAACAGAGAAGACUUAUUGAGAAGAAUGAGGACAGAUUGUGAGGCCAGCAGGUGUGGGAGGAUAACGGAUGGGUAGGAGUGAGUUGGGGGUCUGAGAGAAGGUGAUUUACCUUCCUAGCAUCUGUCACAUAGAUCAGUUGUAGAAGUGGUAGCGCAUUCUAAAAGUGCCUGUUGUUGACUCUUCUAAGGCUAUACAAACACUAUUCUUUUUUGAGAUUAUAUAUCCUGUAUCCUGGGCUGGCGUUGAACUUGAUAAGGUAUAACCAAGAAUCACCUGGUACCUCUGAUCCCCCUGCCUCUACUUCCCGAGCGCUGGGAUUACACAUAUACUAUACCUAGUGGAGCUUUCUGUAUGCUAGCCACACACUUUACCAACAGAGCACUAAAAUGUGGUUCUUGUCUUGUUUUGUGUUUUUAGGGAAUGGGGCCCAUCAAUUCAUAAGUGACAAACAGCAGAGAUAUUUUCACAAAAGUGAGAUUCACAGUGAAAUUCGUCAUGUUUGAUUGGUGACUGAUUAGGCUAACACUUAUUAAAUAGGUACCAUACAUACUCUCCUUUAAGACAUUAAAAUCAUUAAAAUUGAGCUGGGUGUGGUACCUUUAAUCCAAGAACUCAGAAGAUAGAGGCAGGUGGAUCUGUGCCUUCAGGCCAGCCUGAUCUGCAAAGUGAGUUCCAAGACAGACAGGUCUACACAGAGAAGCCCUGUCC